UUUUAUUUAUAAAUUAAAUUAAUAAAGUUGGAUAUUAAAAACAAUAGUUCUAAAUCCAAAAAAUUUGGCGGUACUUUAAUAAAUCAGGGGAACUUGCAAUUUAAAUCGAUAACCCACGAUAAUCUUACUUUUAUUAGAAACUCAGUUAGUGUAUUGCCGUAUUAAUAUAAAUUUAUAAUUUUAUAUAAUUAAGAUAAUUAAUCUUUUACAACAGGUCAAAGUGCAGCUUAUAUAAAAAUGGUAUAAGUGAGUUACAUUAUUAAAAUAAUAUAAAUUAUAAUUAUUAAAAUUAUAUGAAAAUGGACUUGAUAGUAAUUAUA
rnacentral:rRNA from 1 species